CGCGUAGGCGGUUGAUCAAGUCAGGUGUGAAAUCCCGGGGCUCAACCCCGGAAGUGCAUCUGAAACUGGUUGGCUUGAGUAUGGUAGAGGGAAGUGGAAUUCCUGGUGUAGCGGUGAAAUGCGUAGAUAUCAGGAGGAACACCGGUGGCGAAGGCGACUUCCUGGACCAAGACUGACGCUGAGGCGCGAAGGUGUGGGGAGCAAACAGGAUUAGAUACCCUGGUAGUCCACACAGUAAACGGUGAUCACUAGGUGUUGCGGGUGUUGACCCCUGCAGUGCCGCAGUUAACGCAUUAAGUGAUCCGCCUGGGGAGUACGGUCGCAAGAUUAAA
rnacentral:rRNA from 1 species